rnacentral:rRNA from 1 species
CAGUCGAACGGCAGCACGGGUGCUUGCACCUGGUGGCGAGUGGCGAACGGGUGAGUAAUACAUCGGAACGUACCUUAUCGUGGGGGAUAACGCAGCGAAAGCUGUGCUAAUACCGCAUACGCCCUGAGGGGGAAAGCGGGGGAUCGAAAGACCUCGCGCGAUUAGAGCGGCCGAUGCCUGAUUAGCUUGUUGGUGGGGUAAAAGCCCACCAAGGCGACGAUCAGUAGCUGGUCUGAGAGGACGAUCAGCCACACUGGGACUGAGACACGGCCCAGACUCCUACGGGAGGCAGCAGUGGGGAAUUUUGGACAAUGGGGGAAACCCUGAUCCAGCAAUGCCGCGUGAGUGAAGAAGGCCUUCGGGUUGUAAAGCUCUUUUGUCAGGGAAGAAACACCGGCUCUAACACAGUCCGGGAAUGACGGUACCUGAAGAAUAAGCACCGGCUAACUACGUGCCAGCAGCCGCGGUAAUACGUAGGGUGCGAGCGUUAAUCGGAAUUACUGGGCGUAAAGCGUGCGCAGGCGGUUAUACAAGACAGGCGUGAAAUCCCCGGGCUUAACCUGGGAAUGGCGCCUGUGACUGUAUAGCUAGAGUGUGUCAGAGGGGGGUAGAAUUCCACGUGUAGCAGUGAAAUGCGUAGAUAUGUGGAGGAAUGCCAAUGGCGAAGGCAGCCCCCUGGGAUAACACUGACGCUCAUGCACGAAAGCGUGGGGAGCAAACAGGAUUAGAUACCCUGUAGUCCACGCCCUAAACGAUGCUGACUAGUUGUUCGGGAUUUACAUCCUGAGUAACGUAGCUACGCGUGAAGUCAGCCGCCUGGGGAGUACGGUCGCAAGAUUAAAACUCAAAGGAAUUGACGG